UACCAGACUCCUACGGGAGGCAGCAGUGGGAAUAUUGCACAAUGGGGGAAACCCUGAUGCAGCAACGCCGCGUGAGUGAAGAAGUAUUUCGGUAUGUAAAGCCCUAUCGGCAGGGAAGAAGCGAGACGGUACCUGACUAAGAAGCCCCGGCUAACUACGUGCCAGCAGCCGCGGGAAUACGUAGGGGGCGAGCGUUAUCCGGAUUCACUGGGUGUAAAGGGAGCGUAGACGGCCAAGCAAGCCAGGGGUGAAAGCCCGGGGCCCAACCCCGGGACUGCCCUUGGAACUGCAUGGCUGGAGUGCGGGAGGGGCAGGCGGAAUUCCUGGUGUAGCGGUGAAAUGCGUAGAUAUUAGGAGGAACACCAGUGGCGAAGGCGGCCUGCUGGACGACAACUGACGGUGAGGCGCGAAAGCGUGGGGAGCAAACAGGAUUAGAUACCCGCGUA
rnacentral:rRNA from 1 species